AAGACUAUGCUUCGCAGGAUUAUUUCUGUUGUAGGCGGUCUUCAUUUAUUGCCAUCUUUAAAUGGCCCGCGAUGAGUAGUUGUAUCGUUUUACCGGGGGCGUGAGGUUAUAGACGUUGUUCUUGCGUUACCUGUUGUGGGGGUUGUGGACGGUAUUCCUUCGAUUCGAUUUGUUAACCGGUUUCGGAGCGCU
rnacentral:snoRNA from 1 species